UACGAAGGGGGGCUAGCGUUGCUCGGAAUCACUGGGCGUAAAGCGCACGUAGGCGGCUUUCUAAGUCAGGGGUGAAAUCCCGGAGCUCAACUCCGGAACUGCCUUUGAUACUGGAAAGCUUGAGUUCGGGAGAGGUGAGUGGAACUGCGAGUGUAGAGGUGAAAUUCGUAGAUAUUCGCAAGAACACCAGUGGCGAAGGCGGCUCACUGGACCCGAUACUGACGCUGAGGUGCGAAAGCGUGGGGAGCAAACAGGAUUGAGAAACCC
rnacentral:rRNA from 1 species